rnacentral:rRNA from 1 species
AGCAGUCGCCGCGGGAAUACGAAGGGUGCAAGCGUUACUCGGAAUUACUGGGCGUAAAGCGUGCGUAGGUGGUGGUUUAAGUCCGUUGUGAAAGCCCUGGGCUCAACCUGGGAAUUGCAGUGGAUACUGGGUCACUAGAGUGUGGUAGAGGAUAGUGGAAUUUCCGGUGUAGCAGUGAAAUGCGUAGAGAUCGGAAGGAACAUCUGUGGCGAAGGCGACUAUCUGGACCAACACUGACACUGAGGCACGAAAGCGUGGGGAGCAAACAGGAUUAGAUACCCCCGUAGUCCCUGUCUCUUAUAC